GCUGGUGUGGUUGUUGGGAGGUUAGGUUGGAUGUGGCUUUUGAAGCAGUUUUUUAAAACCAGCACUCUUAAAGGUUUGCUUUGCUUCUGUAUUUAUGGGGGCUUAGAGAAUGAAGUUGUCUAGGAUAGAAAAUUGUCAGGUUAAGACAUGAACUGGAUAAGAGAUAAGUUAGAAAUCAGGGUGGAAAGGAGGCAUCAAGAGUUGGAGGAAAUGUAUGAGUCCAAAAAAGAAGAAAAUUGGGCUUCAGGCAUCAGAUUCAUCACUUGGGCUGGAAAUGAAGGGAAGUCAAUGCUGCCCUUCAGCUUUGCUCAACGUAAUAGCAGGAGAAAGUCUUGCAACUGUCAGCCUUUCUUCCACCAAAAAGGGAAAAUGAGUCCUCAGCUGCAGCUGAUCCUGGGUCAGAGGACCAUCAUGGUCUGGAAAAGCAUCUAAUCUCAUACAUUCCCCAGAAGAUGCAAAGCUCUGAAGUGUCCGAGUCUAAUGUGGAAUUUAUUUUAUGACAAAACAGAAGAUACUUACAGAUGAAAAAUAGAUACCAAGAAUAAGUUGUACAUUUUUCUUUUUGAGUAUGAGG